rnacentral:misc_RNA from 1 species
UUCGAGCCUAAGCCCAUAUGAAUUUGGAACAUGUCCCCAAGAUGCCGACUUAAACAAUAUUUGAGAAUAAAAUUCCUUCCUCAAGAAGUCCUCUGCCUGAACCAGAGCAUAGCUACAAAUUUCACGGAGAGAAUACAAAACUUCCAUAUUCCUUUCUGAAUUCUAGAAUCUGUAAAACCCUAUCAAAAUAACAAAGAAAUGGGGGGCUUAUCGGAGACCAAGUUCUUGCAGGAGCUGGUAUUAUACGCGGCAAGUGCAGCCCUAAGUUGUCUGGUAUUGUUUGCGGGGCUACGACAACUUGAUCCUAACCGGGAGGCCUCGAAGAAGGCCCUUGAACAGAAGAAGGAAAUCGCCAAGCGAUUGGGUCGCCCUCUUAUCCAGACCAAUCCAUACGAGGAUGUAAUAGCUUGUGAUGUCAUAAAUCCAGAUCACAUUGAUGUGGAAUUUGAGUCAAUUGGAGGAUUGGAAACUAUCAAGCAAGCUUUGUAUGAACUAGUGAUUCUUCCACUGCGGAGACCUGAGCUCUUUUCACAUGGGAAGCUUCUUGGGCCCCAAAAAGGGGUCCUGUUAUAUGGAUCACCAGGUACUGGUAAGACUAUGCUUGCCAAAGCUAUUGCAAAAGAGUCAGGCGCUGUUUUCAUUAAUGUGAGGAUCUCCAAUCUGAUGAGCAAGUGGUUUGGUGAUGCUCAAAAGCUCGUGGCUGCUGUUUUUAGCCUGGCUUAUAAACUUCAGCCUGCUAUUAUAUUUAUUGAUGAGGUUGACAGUUUCUUGGGGCAGCGCCGUACUACAGAUCACGAGGCAUUGACAAAUAUGAAGACUGAGUUCAUGGCUUUGUGGGAUGGGUUUACGACAGACCAGAAUGCACAAGUGAUGGUUCUUGCUGCUACAAACCGCCCAUCAGAACUUGAUGAAGCAAUACUUCGGCGUCUCCCUCAGGCCUUUGAGAUUGGGAUGCCUGAUCGCAGGGAGAGGGCUGAUAUAUUGAAGGUUAUUUUGAAGGGCGAGAGAGUGGAAGAAAGCAUUGACUUUGACUACAUAGCGAGCUUGUGUGAGGGUUACACAGGUUCUGAUCUUCUUGAACUCUGCAAGAAAGCCUCUUACUUUCCUAUUAGGGACCUACUGGAUGAGGAGAAGAAGGGGAAACGAUGUAGUACACCAAGGCCUUUGUUCCAGUCAGAUUUGGAAAAAGUUCUUGCAACAUCCACUAAGACAAGGAUUGCUGCAAAUGAGUACACUAGGUCAAGCUCACAAUCACUUGGAUGGUCUAGGCAGUCGGAUGAUUAUCAGGUUCAAGCCACAAUCAAUGAACUCUCUAAGCUUGUAGUUUCCCAAAUAUUGAACCUUCAAUCAGAUGCCCUGGACCAUUGAAAUCAUUGUCUUCAGUAAUUCACUUCAAAUGAUCUGUUGUUUCAUAAGAUUAUCCCACAGGCAUUUUAUUCUAUUUAUUUAGUGCUUUUGAGUAUGAUCCCAUGUAGAGUAUGUUAUCUGUGUAAUCAACAUGUUAAGCUAUUGAUUUUUAGGGCACUUGACAUACACUUUUGAAUGUCUUAGGAUUCCAUAUUUGGACGUAGCAGAAUGCUGGCUUGCUUUGCUGCAACAUGGUUACUGCACCUACAGAACUUCCCUCUUGUUAAUAGGGAUUCAAUUGCAAGAAUAGGAACCAGUUAUUCUGAUUUUGCUUAUGGCUAUUGGAGGUGUUUAGAAUUUCAACAUUUUGAUAUAGCAAUCGGAAACACUUAAAUUUUCUUAAUGUUCGGAUAUAUGCUCAAAAAGCACAUGCGUG